UACCAGCACCCCGAGUGGUCGGGACGAUUAUUGGGCCUAAAGCAUCCGUAGCCGGUUCUACAAGUCUUCCGUUAAAUCCACCUGCUUAACAGAUGGGCUGCGGAGGAUACUAUAGAGCUAGGAGGCGGGAGAGGCAAGCGGUACUUAGUGGGUAGGGGUAAAAUCCGUUGAUCCAUUGAAGACCACCAGUGGCGAAGGCGGCUUGCCAGAACGCACUCGACGGUGAGGGAUGAAAGCUGGGGGAGCAAACCGGAU
rnacentral:rRNA from 1 species